CCUUUGCUUGGGUCCUAAUCCAGCAUACCCGGAAGCUACAGAGAUAGGGAACAGAACAAACAAACGCCCUCAUCCACAACAUAGAUAAGUAUAAUACAUAUUACUUAUAUUAAAUAUGAACAUUGACGUGAAAUGUGUGCACUAAGACAGAGAAGUUAACUUGUGUGUCGACCCACAUUGUUAACUUAUCUUACAUUUACAUUACAUUUAAGUCAUUUAGCAGACGCUCUUAUCCAGAGCGACUUACAAAUUGGUAUAACUCUUAUAAGAUUUAUUAUUAUAAAUUAUUAUUAUUAUAACGGAGCAGUGAGGAGUAAUGAAUCUGUGCGUGCGUUAAAGAAAGAAAUGCUGCCUGCGACCAGUGACGGACUUCUACGUCACAAUUAUUAAAGAGAUGCUUUACAUUGAAAUACAGAUAGAUGCAGUAGUCCCAGAGUUAAUGAUCCAAGAUAUGUUUUGAUGUGAGAGGAUGCCAACCCCCAGUCCCAUCAUCGCCACCUCACCCGCUUUUAAGGUGGCAGUGUCUCUAGUUGGCCCAAAUGUUAUGUAAUUGUGAUGAACUGAGAGAAUAUUUAGGUUGCCACUGUGAGGGCCACAGUGCUACCUUCCCUGCUCUUAUGUGUUUACCUCUUUCCCUUUCUGACUUUUACACCUCUCCCGCUACCUCUUUCUUUAUAAUGCACAACAUCUGUGCAUUGAUGUACAGAUUGAACUUGUAUUUAUAACACUUGGAUAAUGAGCUUUUCAAUAAAGCGUUUCACAUUC